rnacentral:rRNA from 1 species
GACGAACGCUGGCGGCGUGCUUAACACAUGCAAGUCGAACGGAAAGGCCCUGCUUUUGUGGGGUGCUCGAGUGGCGAACGGGUGAGUAACACGUGAGUAACCUGCCCUUGACUUUGGGAUAACGUCAGGAAACUGGGGCUAAUACCGGAUAGGAGCUCCUGCUGCAUGGUGGGGGUUGGAAAGUUUCGGCGGUUGGGGAUGGACUCCCGGCUUAUCAGCUUGUUGGUGGGGUAGUGGCUUACCAAGGCUUUGACGGGUAGCCGGCCUGAGAGGGUGACCGGCCACAUUGGGACUGAGAUACGGCCCAGACUCCUACGGGAGGCAGCAGUGGGGAAUAUUGCACAGUGGGCGGAAGCCUGAUGCAGCGACGCCGCGUGCGGGAUGACGGCCUUCGGGUUGUAAACCGCUUUCGCCUGUGACGAAGCGUGAGUGACGGUAAUGGGUGAAGAAGCACCGGCUAACUACGUG